rnacentral:piRNA from 1 species
UGCUAGCAGUUUGGCAGCCAUAAGGUUUUC